rnacentral:misc_RNA from 1 species
GAAAUGCGAUAAGUAAUGUGAAUUGCAGAAUUCAGUGAAUCAUCGAAUCUUUGAACGCACCUUGCGCUCCUUGGUAUUCCGAGGAGCAUGCCUGUUUGAGUGUCAUGGAAUUCUCAACUCUAUUUGCUUUUGUGAAUAGAGCUUGGAUUUGGAGGUUUAUUGCUGGUACUUGUGAUCGGCUCCUCUUGAAUGCAUUAGCUCGAACCUUUGCGGAUCAGCUAUCGGUGUGAUAAUUGUCUACGCCGUUGCAGUGAAGCAUAUCAAUGGGCUCGGCUUCCAUUCGUCCUUUACUGGACAAUGACUUUGACCUUUGACCUCAAAUCAGGUAGGAUUACCCGCUGAACUUAAGC